AACAAUUGGAAAGUCGGUAAUGAAGUGUUUUGGGUAGGAUUUGGACUCUUUUCAAGUUUUACAGAAUUUAGCAAGACAAAGAUGAAAUUUUGGAUAUUUACUGUCCUCUGCUUCGUUCGAGCUUGUAUGGCAGUGACGGUAAUGAUUGACGGAGAGGAGGUGAAUUGCCAUAAAAACUGUGUGUGUUGUAAAGGAGGAAGGUCAAAAUGUGACUUUGAUAACCGCUGUACAGACGGAUGUGUUGCAACCAUAUAUAGUCACAGAUGUCAUAACUCUUGUCCUGAAAACUGCUA